AACGAACGCUGGCGGCAUGCCUAACACAUGCAAGUCGAACGAGACCUUCGGGUCUAGUGGCGCACGGGUGCGUAACGCGUGGGAACCUGCCUUUAGGUUCGGAAUAACUCAGAGAAAUUUGAGCUAAUACCGGAUGAUGUCUUCGGACCAAAGAUUUAUCGCCUUUAGAUGGGCCCGCGUUGGAUUAGCUAGUUGGUGGGGUAAAGGCCUACCAAGGCGACGAUCCAUAGCUGGUCUGAGAGGAUGAUCAGCCACACUGGGACUGAGACACGGCCCAGACUCCUACGGGAAGCAGCGGUGGGGAAUAUUGGACAAUGGGCGAAAGCCUGAUCCAGCAAUGCCGCGUGAGUGAUGAAGGCCUUAGGGUUGUAAAGCUCUUUUACCCGAGAUGAUAAUGACAGUAUCGGGAGAAUAAGCUCCGGCUAACUCCGUG
rnacentral:rRNA from 1 species